rnacentral:rRNA from 1 species
CCUACGGGUGGCUGCAGUGAGGAAUAUUGGUCAAUGGGCGCGAGCCUGAACCAGCCAAGUAGCGUGAAGGAUGAAUGCCCUACGGGUUGUAAACUUCUUUUAUAAAGGAAUAAAGUGAGGCACGUGUGCCUUUUUGUAUGUACUUUAUGAAUAAGGAACGGCUAACUCCGUGCCAGCAGCCGCGGUAAUACGGAGGAUCCGAGCGUUAUCCGGAUUUAGUGGGUUUAAAGGGAGCGUAGAUGGGUUGUUAAGUCAGUUGUGAAAGUUUGCGGCUCAACCGUGAAAUUGCAAUUGUUACUGGCAGCCUUGAGUACAGUUGAGGUAGGCGGAAUUCGUGGUGUAGAGGUGAAAUGCUUAGAUAUCACGAAGAACUCCGAUUGCGAAGGCAGCUUACUAAACUGCCACUGACAUUGAUGCUCGAAAGUGUGGGGAUCAAACAGGAUUAGAUACCCCAGUAGUC